UACGUAGGGGGCAAGCGUUGUCCGGAAUCAUUGGGCGUAAAGCGCGUGUAGGCGGCUUGGUAAGUCCGCUCUGAAAGCCCCGGGGCUCAACCCCGGGAGGCGGGUGGAUACUGUCAAGCUCGAGUCCGGAAGAGGCGAGUGGAAUUCCUGGUGUAGCGGUGAAAUGCGUAGAUAUCAGGAGGAACACCGGUGGUGCAGACGGCUCUCUGGACCGUAACUGACGCUGAGACACGAAAGCGUGGGUAGCAAACAGG
rnacentral:rRNA from 1 species